ensembl:snRNA U7 U7 small nuclear RNA
GAGUGCUAUAGCUCUUUUAGAAUUUGUCCAGCAGGCUUUCCAGUUUCCCCA